rnacentral:rRNA from 1 species
UACGUAGGGGGCGAGCGUUGUCCGAAGUUACUGGGCGUAAAGCGCGCGUAGGCGGGGGGAUUAAGUGAGAGGUGAAAGGCUGGGGCUCAACCUCAUGCAGUGCCUCUCAUACUGGUUCUCUUGAGGGCGGUAGGGAGAAGUGGAAUGGCUGGUGUAGCGGUGAAAUGCGCAGAUAUCAGGAAGAACACCAAUGGCGAAAGCAGCUCUCUGGGGACGGUACUGACGCUGAGACGCGAAAGCGUGGGAGCGAACAGG